UGCUGCUGUGAAGAGAACCAUUCUCACUCUGAAUGCUGAACAUCAGCUACUUUCUCCUCUUCAUUUCAGCCUCGUUGUACACAUGGAACAUUGGCUGUGGAUUAUUCUUGCUGCUCUUUGCUUUGAGUGUAAAGGAGAAGACAGAGUGAUCCAGCCAACAGCAGAUGUCAUUGCUACUGAAGGAGGCACAGUUACACUGGACUGUACAUUUGAGACCAGUUCUACAACUCCCUAUCUGUUCUGGUACAAACAGGAUGGAAACAACAGCCCCAAAUUCAUACUGAGUCGCUUUCAACGGGAUCAAGGGAACACAGCAGACGAGUCCAAGGAGAGAUUUUCUUCCACACUGAAUUCCACCUUAAAAUCAGUUCCUCUGAAGAUCCAGAAGCUUCAGCUGUCUGACUCUGCUGUGUACUACUGUGCUCUGCAGCCCACAGUGACAGGAAACAGCAAAACUCUGCACAAAAACCUCUGCAGCAAACACAACACAAUACUCCACAACGUCCACUAGAGGGAGUCACACACUGCUCAACUUCAAUGGGAUGUGAUGGUUGUGUUGAUUCUUGCCAGUGGUGAUAAAAACAACACAAAAUGAAGCACUAAAGUUAAAACACACAGGGCCAGACUGACUAAGAAAAUGUCUUUGCACAAAUGUGCUGCUGUUUUCAUUGAGUUUGCAGUCAUAAUCUGUGUUUAUUCAGCACCUCAGUUACUA